rnacentral:lncRNA from 1 species
CUAAACCAGAAUCACGUAAAUUAAUUUACCAAGACUACAUUUGAUUUCGCUUUACACUCAACCGGUAAUAGAUAAAUUCAACUAAACCGGAUUGUUAAUAUUUGGUGAACUCGACGAAGGAACUCGCCCGAUAACGACGGAGCGAUUGCGAUCACCGUCAGUCUCGUCGAAGUGUCUGUCGGUGGAGACUUCCGAAAUCAAGCAGUUCCAGGUGAUUUCAUUUGUGCUUAGUUUCUCUUGAUUUCAUUAGCAUGUAAAUAUGCUCUUUCGGAUUUUGAAACAACUCGGAUUGAUCUUCUAGGGUUUAGGUCCUAGAACUAGACCUUAAGACAGAUUCUCUCUCUCUGGGUUUGCUUUGUUUAAUCAUUAAAUAUUUUUGUGGGCAAUGAUUGAAAAUAUUCAUCUGUUGCUGUCUUUGGUCCAUGUUGACGUUUUCCUCUUCCACUACUUGUGCAGCUUGAGGGACGUUGACCUUGGCUGAGAUUGAAAAUGAAAUAGGAAAAGCUGGUGAAGAGAGUAUCUUUGAUAUAUAUGAUAUGCUUGAUUACA